AUGUCUUCGCCGGAGCCAUCGGCGGCGGCGGCCGGGGCGGGCGGCGAUGCGGCCGGCCAGAGGGCUCCAGUGGAGCCGCUCCGGCUGCCAACGCCGGAGGAGAUCAAGGGGCAGGAGAUGAUGAACAACUGCGCCGUCCGGAGCGUCCUCAGCGGUGUCAUGGGGGGUGGUCUUGGUGUACUUAUGGGACUAUUUUUUGGAGCUUUGGAAAAUCCAAUAAUGGCAGAGGAGAUGACAGCAAGGCAACAAAUAGUCUACCAGGCAAAACAGAUGGGUAGGAAAAGUAUGAGCCAUGCUAAGACCUUUGCAGUAAUGGGCUUGAUUUUCUCUGCAGCUGAAUGCGUCGUUGAGAAGGCUCGGGCAAAGCAUGACAUCACCAAUUCAGCAGUAGCUGGCUGUGUCACAGGAGGAGCUUUAGCUGCAAAAGGUGGCCCUCAAGCUACAUGUAUCGGGUGCGUGGGUUUUGGUGCCUUCUCUGUGGCGAUUGAGAAGUUCAUGGAGCGAUAUAACUGA
rnacentral:rRNA from 1 species